UGAAGCGGAGAAUUAUUUUCGAAAAUAUUGGAAAGCAUACGAGGUUGAGCAGUGAAGUGGUGGAGGAAGUGCUAUUGAGACAAUACAUUUAAUUCUGUCAGAUUAGGUCUCUCGGAGGUUCAUGUCUCCAUACAUGGAACCGCGUUCUUUUCCUUCCGCUGUGCAUCUUAAAAGACUCAAGUCUAUUUUGUUCAAAACUCUGAUAUUUUGAAAAUUUUUACAAACAAUUACUCGAGUUUUGCAUAAGCGAGUAUCUUUUCCUCUAUGUAUCAGCACUUGAUUA